ACGAACGCUGGCGGCGUGCUUAACACAUGCAAGUCGAACGGGAAUAUUUAGCUUGCUAUGAUAUUCCUAGUGGCGAACGGGUGAGUAACGCGUAGGCAACCUGCCCGUUGGGAGUGGGGAACAACAGGACCGAAAGGCCUGCUAAUACCGAAUGAAGUAAGCUUAUCGCAUGGUGAGCUUAUGAAAGAUGGCCUCUACUUGUAAGCUAUCACCCAAGGAUGGGCCUGCGUCUGAUUAGCUAGUUGGUAGGGGUAAAGGCUCACCAAGGCGACGAUCAGUAGCCGGUCUGAGAGGAUGAACGGCCACAUUGGGACUGAGACACCGGCCCAGACUCCGUACGGGAGGCAGCAGGUGGGGAAUCUUCCGCAAGUGGGACGAAAGCCUGACGGAGCAACGCCGCGUGAGUAGAAGGUAAGGGUUUAGGCUACGUAAAGCUCUGUUGCGAGGGGACGAAGGCCCUGGAGGUGAAUAAUCUCCAGGGAUGACGGUACCCUGCGAGGAAGCCACGGCUAACUACGUGCCAGCCGCGGC
rnacentral:rRNA from 1 species